CUGCUGGGUUACAGGCGCCGCUGUCCACCUCUACUCCGGGGUCUAGUACAGCGCUGGCGCUACGGCAAGGUCUGCCUGCGCUCCCUGCUCUACAACUCCUUUGGGGGCAGUGACACCGCUGUUGAUGCUGCCUUUGAGCCUGUCUACUGGCUGGUAGACAAUGUGAUCCGCUGGUUUGGAGUGGUGUUCGUGGUCCUGGUGAUCGUGCUGACAGGCUCCAUUGUAGCUAUCGCCUACCUGUGUGUCCUGCCUCUCAUCCUCCGAACCUACUCAGUGCCACGACUCUGCUGGCAUUUCUUCUAUAGCCACUGGAAUCUGAUCCUGAUUGUCUUCCACUACUACCAGGCCAUCACCACUCCGCCUGGGUACCCACCCCAGGGCAGGAAUGAUAUCGCCACCGUCUCCAUCUGUAAGAAGUGCAUUUACCCCAAGCCAGCCCGAACACACCACUGCAGCAUCUGCAACAGCAGGAUGCUGGUCCUUGUAGGGAAGGAUUGGCACUGACAUCUCAAGAACUUUGGCCACCGUAACAGAGCCUGUGUCCCUUCCUCACAGGUGUGUGCUGAAGAUGGAUCACCACUGCCCCUGGCUAAACAAUUGUGUGGGCCACUAUAACCAUCGGUACUUCUUCUCUUUCUGCUUUUUCAUGACUCUGGGCUGUGUCUACUGCAGCUAUGGAAGUUGGGACCUUUUCCGGGAGGCUUAUGCUGCCAUUGAGAAAAUGAAACAGCUCGACAAGAACAAACUACAGGCGGUUGCCAACCAGACUUAUCACCAGACCCCACCACCCACCUUCUCCUUUCGAGAAAGGAUGACUCACAAGAGUCUUGUCUACCUCUGGUUCCUGUGCAGUUCUGUGGCACUUGCCCUGGGUGCCCUAACUGUAUGGCAUGCUGUUCUCAUCAGUCGAGGUGAGACUAGCAUCGAAAGGCACAUCAACAAGAAGGAGAGACGUCGGCUACAGGCCAAGGGCAGAGUAUUUACGAAUCCUUACAACUACGGCUGCUUGGACAACUGGAAGGUAUUCCUGGGUGUGGAUACAGGAAGGCACUGGCUUACUCGGGUGCUCUUACCUUCUAGUCACCUGCCCCAUGGGAAUGGAAUGAGCUGGGAGCCCCCUCCUUGGGUGACUGCUCACUCAGCCUCUGUGAUGGCAGUGUGAGCUGGACUGUGUCAGCCACGACUCGAGCACUCAUUCUGCUCCCUAUGUUAUUUCAAGGGCCUCCAAGGGCAGCUUUUCUUGGAAUCCUUGAUCAAAAAGAGCCAGUGGGCCUGCCUUAGGGUACCAUGCAGGACAAUUCAAGGACCAGCCUUUUUACCACUGCAGAAGAAAGACACAAUGUGGAGAAAUCUUAGGACUGACAUCCCUUUACUCAGGCAAACAGAAGUUCCAACCCCAGACUAGGGGUCAGGCAGCUAGCUACCUACCUUGCCCAGUGCUGACCCGGACCUCCUCCAGGAUACAGCACUGGAGUUGGCCACCACCUCUUCUACUUGCUGUCUGAAAAAACACCUGACUAGUACAGCUGAGAUCUUGGCUUCUCAACAGGGCAAAGAUACCAGGCCUGCUGCUGAGGUCACUGCCACUUCUCACAUGCUGCUUAAGGGAGCAAAAAUAAAGGUAUUCGAUUU
rnacentral:sRNA from 1 species